AGGACGAACGCUGGCGGCGUGCCUAACACAUGCAAGUCGAACGCGCUCCAUUCGGUAGCAAUACUGAUGAAGAGCGAGUGGCGAACGGGUGAGUAGCACGUGAGCAACCUGCCCCGAAGACCGGGACAACACCGGGAAACCGGUGCUAAUACCGGAUAUCCCUAUCGGACCGCAUGAUCUGAUAAGGAAAUGGAUUCCGCUUCGGGAGGGGCUCGCGGCCUAUCAGCUAGUUGGUGAGGUAACGGCCCACCAAGGCAUCGACGGGUAGCUGGUCUGAGAGGACGAUCAGCCACACUGGGACUGAGACACGGCCCAGACUCCUACGGGAGGCAGCAGUGGGGAAUAUUGGACAAUGGGGGCAACCCUGAUCCAGCAAUGCCGCGUGAGUGAUGAAGGCCUUAGGGUUGUAAAGCUCUUUCGCCCGCGACGAUGAUGACGGUAGCGGGAGAAGAAGCCCGGCUAACUUCGUGCCAGCAGCCGCGGUAA
rnacentral:rRNA from 1 species